rnacentral:rRNA from 1 species
CCUACGGGAGGCAGCAGUGGGGGAUAGUGGACAAUGGGGGGAACCCUGAUCCAGCGACGCCGCGUGAGUGAAGAAGUAUCUCGGUAUGUAAAGCUCUAUCAGCAGGGAAGAAGAAAGGACGGUACAUGAGUAAGAAGCCCAGGCUAACUACGUGCCAGCAGCCGCGGUAAUACGGAGGGGGCAAGCGUUAUGCGGAAUUACUGGGUGGACAGGGAGCGUAGACGGUGAGGUAAGUCUGGAGUGAAAGGCGGGGGCCCAACCCCCGGACUGCUCUGGAAACUCUGUGACUGGAGUGCAGGAGUGGUGAGCGGAAUUCCUCGUGUAGCGGUGAAAUGCGUAGAUAUUAGGAGGCACACCAGUGGCGAAGGCGGCUCACUGGACUGUAACUGCCGUUGAGGCUCGAACGCGUGGGGAGCAAACAGGAUUAGCUACCCUUGUAGUC